AUGGCGCCGUCGCAGCCCAAGUCAGGGCUCUUCGUGGGCAUCAACAAGGGCCACGUCGUCACCAAGCGCGAGCUGCCGCCACGCCCGUCCGACCGCAAGGGGAAAGGUACCAAGAGGGUGCAUUUUGUCAGGAACUUGAUUAGGGAGGUUGCUGGAUUCGCUCCCUAUGAGAAACGUAUCACUGAGCUUCUUAAGGUUGGAAAGGACAAGCGUGCACUCAAGGUCGCCAAGAGAAAGCUUGGUACUCACAAGAGAGCAAAGAAGAAGAGAGAGGAGAUGUCAAGUGUCCUUAGGAAGAUGAGGUCUGCUGGUGGUGGUGGUGCUGGUGACAAGAAGAAAUAG
rnacentral:rRNA from 1 species